AGAGCGAACGCUGGCGGCAGGCCUAACACAUGCAAGUCGAGCGCCCCGCAAGGGGAGCGGCAGACGGGAGAGUAACACGUGGGAACGUACCCUUCAGUUCGGAACAACCCAGGGAAACUUGGGCUAAUACCGGAUACGUCCGUAAGGAGAAAGAUUUAUCGCUGAAGGAUCGGCCCGCGUCUGAUUAGCUUGUUGGUGAGGUAACGGCUCACCAAGGCGACGAUCAGUAGCUGGUCUGAGAGGAUGAUCAGCCUCACUGGGACUGAGACACGGCCCAGACUCCUACGGGAGGCAGCAGUGGGGAAUAUUGGACAAUGGGCGCAAGCCUGAUCCAGCCAUGCCGCGUGGGUGAUGAAGGCCCUAGGGUUGUAAAGCCCUUUCGGCGGGGAAGAUAAUGACGGUACCCGCAGAAGAACGCCCGGCUAACUUCGCGCCAGCAGCCGC
rnacentral:rRNA from 1 species